GCGCGCACCUGCAGUCGAGCGGAUGAGAGGAGCUUGCUCCUUGAUUUAGCGGCGGACGGGUGAGUAAUGCCUAGGAAUCUGCCUGGUAGUGGGGGAUAACGUUCCGAAAGGAACGCUAAUACCGCAUACGUCCUACGGGAGAAAGCAGGGGACCUUCGGGCCUUGCGCUAUCAGAUGAGCCUAGGUCGGAUUAGCUAGUUGGUGAGGUAAUGGCUCACCAAGGCGACGAUCCGUAACUGGUCUGAGAGGAUGAUCAGUCACACUGGAACUGAGACACGGUCCAGACUCCUACGGGAGGCAGCAGUGGGGAAUAUUGGACAAUGGGCGAAAGCCUGAUCCAGCCAUGCCGCGUGUGUGAAGAAGGUCUUCGGAUUGUAAAGCACUUUAAGUUGGGAGGAAGGGCAUUAACCUAAUACGUUAGUGUUUUGACGUUACCGACAGAAUAAGCACCGGCUAACUUCGUGCCAGCAGCCGCGGUAAUACGAAGGGUGCAAGCGUUAAUCGGAAUUACUGGGCGUAAAGCGCGCGUAGGUGGUUCGUUAAGUUGGAUGUGAAAGCCCCGGGCUCAACCUGGGAACUGCAUCCAAAACUGGCGAGCUAGAGUACGGUAGAGGGUGGUGGAAUUUCCUGUGUAGCGGUGAAAUGCGUAGAUAUAGGAAGGAACACCAGUGGCGAAGGCGACCACCUGGACUGAUACUGACACUGAGGUGCGAAAGCGUGGGGAGCAAACAGGAUUAGAUACCCUGGUAGUCCACGCCGUAAACGAUGUCAACUAGCUGUUGGGUUCCUUGAGAACUUAGUGGCGCAGCUAACGCAUUAAGUUGACCGCCUGGGAGUACGGCCGCAAGGUUAAACUCAGAUGAAUUGUCAGGGCCGCACAAGCGGUGGAGCAUGUGGUUUAUUCGAAGCAACACGAAACCUUACCUGGACUUGACAUGCUGAGAACUUU
rnacentral:rRNA from 1 species